CCCGAUGUGGGGCUGGAACCCAAGAGCUGUGAGAACAUGACCAGAGCUGAAACCAAGAGUCGGAUGCUUAACUGACUGAGCCACUCAGGCGCCCUGGACACAUGAUAUUUGUAAACCUAGGAAAAAGCAAGGAAAACUCCUUGGAGAUUGAUUUGGACACUUGAUCAAAAUGAAUCUUAAAAAUAUUGAUAACUCAAAUUCUUUAAAAAGGUAAAAAUCAGCUCAUUUCAAGCAAGCUCUCCUGCCGGCCACUUGGAAUAAAGUUAAAGCACCUUUUGAAUAGGUCAUCUGAAUGCAGUUUUCUCUUGUAAGUGGGUUUAAGCAGGAACAGGUUGCCAUUUCCUUGACAUCGCUAUGUGCUGUUGCACAUGUCUGAAGUCCAGACAUGAAAUGAGGUGUGUGCGUGUGCGUGUGCGUGUGGGCAUAUGGGACCAGUUUUCCUCACAAUGACAAACACAUGAGUGGAUCCCAUGCUUAACCCCUGGUUGUGCAACUUCAAGCACACUGACAAUGAGGCGAGCCCAAAGCUGUGCUGCUUGGCCUAGAAUGGAAAUUCUCCUGCAGACUCCUUUAACUUCUCUUCUAGUAACGGCUGAAGACUUAAGAUGAAAACAGCAAGAUGCAAGAUAUUUGCGAGUUUGUUUUGAGCACCAACUGGAUGGCUUUGCUUAAAGGACCACCAUGAGGACUGUUUCAGACAAGGAAUCUUCAAAGUUCUGCUCUUGAACCAUGGCAGCAAGAAGAAGAUAUAAGCUCAGUUUCUCUUUUUAACCCACUGAAAGGUUCUGUUAUGCAAAAGGUUCUAAAAGGUUCUUUGUGCUGGUACCAAAUCCCAGCGAUCACGAGAGAGCUUAGGUCUUUCUGGUGGACCCAACAACUUGAAUGAUGGUCUAUCAGCUUUGGAGAUUUGACCUUCUGAGAUUAGAGACAGCUGUGCAGAGAAAGAAUCUCCCCCAUCCCAUGUUCUACCAUUCCCACAGAAAUAAAUAUACUUUCGUUUGAGCCAGCUUAGACACAGAGGAGUCAACACUGGAGCAUUUAUCUGAAAAGAAAACCCAGGAAAACCCCUGACAUAUCUUGGAAAGACCUCUAAAAAUCUAGACAUGACUGUAGUUCAAAGGCCCAUGUUUUCUCCUCCCCCAGGCUCUCUCCUGGGGCAGUAGUUCUCAAUAUUCAAUCUGGAGGUUAACUUUUGGCUCUGCGAUCAACUAUCUGGGUGGAGGGCUACUCAGGGAGCCCCAGCGUCUUCAUCUGUCAAUAAAUUACUCUUUGGGGCUACUAUGGGAAGUAAAGAGGAAAGUGAGUAUGGCGAUCUCAGCACAGUGAUGGUCACUAAAUCAAAACUAAAUAAAGACUCAACAGAAUGUUAGCACCUA